GAUGAACGCUGGCGGCAUGCUUUACACAUGCAAGUCGGACGGGAAGUGGUGUUUCCAGUGGCGGACGGGCGAGUAACGCGUAAGAACCUGCCCUUGGGAGGGGAACAACAGCUGGAAACGGCUGCUAAUACCCCGUAGGCUGAGGAGCGAAAGGAGGAAUCCGCCCAAGGAGGGGCUCGCGUCUGAUUAGCUAGUUGGUGAGGUAAUAGCUUACCAAGGCCGUGAUCAGUAGCUGGUCCGAGAGGAUGAUCAGCCACACUGGGACUGAGACAAGGCCCAGACUCCUACGGGAGGCAGCAGUGGGGAAUUUUCCGCAAUGGGCGAAAGCCUGACGGAGCAAUGCCGCGUGGAGGUAAAAGGCCUACGGGUCAUGAACUUCUUUUCCUGGAGAAGAAACAAUGACGGUAUCUGGGGAAUAAGCAUCGGCUAACUCUGUG
rnacentral:rRNA from 1 species